CUCAAUCUUGACAAUGAAACCGGCGUCCCUUUGUUUCCCCUUCGUCCCUUGAAACCCUACCAUUGUAUAACUGCUUCACUAAUGAUUUCAUUACCAUCCCCUCCUUCAAUUCCCAUUCAAAACUCCUGGUGAUGUUCCAAGCCGAGAAGAAACGGGGACGACGAUGACGAUGGGCACUCCGGUAACAUUAUGGGUUUUUAAAUUGAUCUUGUACGGGGAUGACGAUGAUGAUGCGCACUCAGGAAAAAAGACGACAUUUGCUUGUUAGUUCAAUUAUCAUAAGGGCAUUGAAGUUUCCCUUGGAGUCUUUUCAGCCAUGGGCACCAAAAUCAAAGGGGGUUUUCAAAGACUUCAAGUUCAUCUCAUAGUUCUUUAGUACCCCUCUUGAGAUAUGUAUUUUAAAGUAUUUUAUAUAUAUUUGUUUUUAAUUUUUGAAUAUUUUUAAAGUAUUUUAUAUUGUUUGGAUUACUGUGAUAAUAUUCGGUACACAAAUUAUUGGCAAAAAGUCUUAAUUUUUCGGACACAAUUGUUGCUUGUCAUUUGUCAACUCAACCUGACCCAUCUUAUACAAAAAAACAACCUUUAUAAGAUGUCCAUCUACACUUAUGUUGUUUGCUAACCUUUUUAAUUCUAAUACUAGACAGUAAAGCGUAGAGACAAGUUGCUGAGUUACAUGCUCUUUUUGAGCAUAGCACCAAGUUUGCCAAUUUUUUUAUUAACAGCUGUUGAUAGAAAGCUGGGCAGAUUAUUAUGGCAGACAAGGAAGAAAAGUUGUCUUCUCCAAUGGACAGCUUGGGAUGGGAACCAUGAAGUUAGGAAGAUUAGCAAAAUCAGUAGCUACAGGAGUUAAUACGAAACGCAAAACACGAGGGCUGCUUCAUCAUCCAUUACAGGUAGUUAUCCAUUUGACCAAUUAGAGCUAAAAUACAACCAAAAUCAACCAUGUAUAGGUAAACCGAGCGAUAUUGCCAUAUACGCAAAGCAUUUUCAGCCAACUCAGUUAUACCCCUGGACUGGACAAAUAAAGUCAAUUAUGGUCAAAGUGCUGUGUAGUCACCCGCUUUCUUCCUAUAUUUGUCUUACAAAUGGUGGGUAUCUAUAUGCCAAAAUGUCAAUAGAUCAUCAUCGCUCAUUGCUAAUAUACUUGGUAUCAAAAGACGCUAAGCAAAAGCAAAAAAUGAUAACAUUUUCUCCAGUUUCUUAUGAUUUCAGUUGGAGUUGUGUAUGCAGACACUAGCACAAAGAAACUCCAUAGCUAAAGAUCGUGUCCGAGCGUUGACAAUGACCGCAAGACAAACACCGGUUGAGAUAUGGCGGUCUAGAAAUGAUCAUUAAUUUCAAGAUUGGAAUGGAAUAUGGUAAAGAACACAACAUGAAUAUGGUGAUAAACAGAUUGCUAUAGAACCAAAAACUAUGGGAGCUUGGGGGUUGUGCAGAAUAAGGGGAAUGUAUGAGAUUGUCAAAUGCUACAUCAACAAAAUGGUUGAAAGUGCAGUUGGUUAUUCUAAAUGCCGUUAAAAAUAUGUGGAUAUUGAGAAGCGGAAGUCAGAGCACCUGGAACGUGUUAGUAUCCUCAACAAUGACGGACGCCAGAUGGCAGUUAGCAAGUUAAGACAUUUGUUUAUAUUUCUUUUUUCAAUUUAGUUUAUUGUAGACACAUAUUAGCUAUGAGAUGGGAGGCACACAUAUGCAGUCUUUGAUGCAUCAUGGUCCGAUCUUACCGAAAUUCUCUAUUCUAGGUACUUGACCAUAUUGUACACUAUAUAUGUACAUAUGUGUAUGCAAGGUUGUUUAACGGGUCGAACCCAACACGAAUCAAAACUAAAAAAGUAUCGAUGAUAGUGUCAUUUUCUCAUGGCUACAAUCAGUUUGUUAAUAUUCCAAACAAUCGCUUUGUAUGAACUCUGUGUAAAAUCU